AGUGUUGCCAUUAAAACCGAAGAAGAAGAAUGCAAAUACAAAUACACGCCAUGUGAUAUGUGACGAGCCUCGUAAACGAAAGUUAAUGACUAGCUACUCUGGAAAAGGAAUGGUGUCUCAAGGAGCUUUUACUUGAGUAGAGCUCCAGGAUGUUGUGUGAAGUCUUGCUGUCAUCGCUAUGGUUCCUGUUUGUUAUCUUCUGGGUCGAGACAAUAGGUGUGUGGCUGUUUCUGUCCAUGUUCUACCAGGACCGGGUAUUUUACCAUUGGGGAGAUGGGGUAUUUUCAGAUGAUCCUGGGCAGAUGAUAUACACUUUAAGCAGAGAUGAUACUCGUAUGCAAACAGAGAUGCAGACCUGAGAUGGGAAAAGAUCAAGAAAUCUGCAAGGACUCUCAGUAGAGGGCUAGUGCUAUUAUGUGGUCAAAGAACAUAUGAUGAAAAGCCUCAAAAACUUGUGCACAGUCCUUGUUAGGUAAAUGUAAACCCACUUGUAAUGAUAGGUGGUGGAGAGGUGCAGCAUGAGUUAAGGUAUAAGAUGUAGAGGGAGGUUAUCAAUGAAUGGUGUGUAUCAUAACCACUAAUGCAACAUUCAGAGUUUAGCUUUAUUUUGGAGAAGCUGAAUGAAUUCACUUCAGUGCUUCUUUCUUGUAUUCUCAUAAAAUCCAUUAUAAGCUGUGCACUGGUAGGGUGUUUUGAUCAUUCUGCCAUUCUAUGCAACUACACUUUUGCUGUCUGCAGCUGUUUCUGUGUUAGAUUGCAGGAAAUAAUAAUCACCUUUAUUGGCCAAGUAUGUUACACACACACAAGG